rnacentral:rRNA from 1 species
UAUCUCCUACGGGACGCAGCAGUAGGGAAUCUUCCACAAUGGACGAAAGUCUGAUGGAGCAACGCCGCGUGAGUGAAGAAGGGUUUCGGAUCGUAAAACCCUGUUGUUAGAGAAGAAAGUGCGUGAGAGUAACUGUUCACGUUUCGACGGUAUCUAACCAGAAAGCCACGGCUAACUACGUGCCAGCAGCCGCGGUAAUACGUAGGUGGCAAGCGUUAUCCGGAUUUAUUGGGCGUAAAGGGAACGCAGGCGGUCUUUUAAGUCUGAUGUGAAAGCCUUCGGCUUAACCGGAGUAGUGCAUUGGA